CCAGCCUACUCAGUUCAGCCAGCAGUCUGUCUUUUGAUGUAGCGGCACAUUUAUACUGGGGAGCUAAAGAUAUCAGAUGUUUGAUGGUUCACAAGCAUAUGGUUAACAGGCAGCUAUGCAAACUGUAAGUAGCUGUUCCAUUGGACCUACUUUUGGGAGUAAUUGAAGGUGAUCUCAGCUGAGAGUAAGCAAAGUGAGAUUUGUGACCACGCACCCAGCAAGUUUCAAGAGCAGAGUCUGAACCUUGAACCUCAAUAUUGAAUUUUGCCACAUC